rnacentral:rRNA from 1 species
UACGUAGGGGGCAAGCGUUGUCCGGAAUGACUGGGCGUAAAGGGUGUGUAGGCGGGCCUGUAAGUUGGAUGUGUAAUACCCAGAGCUUAACUCGGGUGCUGCAUCUGAAACUACGGGUCUUGAGUGUCGGAGAGGUAAGUGGAAUUCCUAGUGUAGCGGUGGAAUGCGUAGAUAUUAGGAGGAACAUCAGUGGCGAAGGCGACUUACUGGACGAUAACUGACGCUGAGGCACGAAAGCGUGGGGAGCAAACAGGAUUAGAUAC